rnacentral:rRNA from 1 species
UACAGAGGGUGCUAACGUUGUUCGGAAUCACUGGGCUUAAAGCGCACGUAGGCGGCUAGGCAAGUGCGAUGUGAAAGCCCCCCGGCCCAACCGGGGAACUGCAUCGUAGACUGCCUGGCUUGAGAGCGGUAGGGGAGACUAGAACUCCUGGUGGAGCGGUGAAAUGCGUAGAUAUCAGGAGGAAUACCGGUGGCGAAGGCGGCAUCCUGGACCGGCCAUUGACGCUGAUGAGCGAAGACUAGGGGAGCAAACGGG